GAACAUCCCAGCCUGCGCAUCGCAGUCCUGUCCUGGCGGCACACACACCAGCAGCAUGGCCUACCCUGCGAGAACAGGCCCAUGCAGGAUUGCUCUACACUUGUGCUGAGAACAGUAUACAAGGAGCCCUGGGUGGAAGCCAAAUACCACAUAAGAGGUAUUCACAGCAAUCCAGUCAAGAGAUGAUGGUGGCCAAGGACCAAGGUGGGAGCAGGAAAGGUGGAGAGAAACUCUUCGAUUUUGGAUGUAUGUUGAAGAAUCAACAGGAUUUGGUGAUGGAUUGGACAUGAGCUGUGAACAGGAGGAGUCAAAGGUGAUUUGAAGGUCUGACUAAACUGAAAGAACAGAGUUGCUACAUCUGGGCCAGGAAAUGCUGUGGAAGGAAUGUAGGUGGUGGGGAUUCGGAGUUCACUUUCAUUUCUCAGCAAUUGUGCAAACGAGUGAUAGGACACAACCACAUUUGGUGUGGGGGCUUUCCCCAUGCUCCAGCACACUGUUUCACAUGUUAAUUGGGCUUUCACACCACCACCAGCUCUCAGCUUCCUUUCUACCACUGCUGCCUGGUAAAUUUCUACUUAUCUUUAAAAUCUUAGCUAAAUGGCACAUUUCUGUGAACCCUUUGAUGACAUUAAGUGCCAAGUGUCAGGCCUCCCCCCUCUGAGCAGUCUCAGCCCGUAUAGUCUAUGCUACCAAACAAGACAGCUGAUGAUGGGCUGUCAUUUGUGGUUUGCUACUUCCUCGAGAUUUGCUAGCUAUCGUUCUUAAAAGCGAAUACUCCUGUUCUAUCUGCGGUAGCUCAAAGGGUACGUAACACAUAGAGCUUGGCUGUUAAUGGGCUUGAUCAGAGCUUGUUGCUUGAGCUGCUUUUGUACAUUGUGGUGACUGACCGUUGGCCUGCCAGAUGGGAAUCACAGAUUUGGGUUCAUGGAGUCAGCACUUUUCUAGUUCAAAGAUCUUGUCAUCAGAUGAGAACCUUGGGUCCCAGAGAGGGGAAGUAACUUAUCCAAGGCCUUUUAUGGAAUUAGAGAGUCAAGAGUAGGACUUAGUUACUCUAAUUUUUAGACUGGCACUCUUUCCCUCACACUCAUAAAGCUGAGCUUUGGGCAACCAAGGUAUUCUAAAACAGACUCCAAUUUGAGAUUCUAAUUGCCCAAGAGUGUGUACAGAAAAGGACAUUUUGAAACAGACAUUCCCACAUUCUGUUGGUGGUAGGAUAAUUGCCAUAACCUCUUUGAAAAGCAAUUUGACAAUGUCUAAUCAAACUUAUACAUGAACAAAUCCUUUAACCCAG
rnacentral:lncRNA from 1 species